rnacentral:rRNA from 1 species
AAAUUGAAGAGUUUUGAUUGGCGGCUCAGAUUGAACGCUGGCGGCAGCCCAACACAUGCAAGUCGAACGGCAACAGGAAGCAGCUUGCUGCUUCGCUGACGAGUGGCGGACGGGUGAGUAAUGUCUGGGAAACCGCCUGAUGAGGGGAUAAUUACUGGAAAACGGUGGCUACUGACCGCAUAACGUCGUAAGACCAAAGAGUAUCCCUUUCGCCUCUUGCCAUCAGGAUGUGCCCAGAUGGGAUUAGCUUGUUGCGAGGUAACGUCACCAAGGCGAUUGAUCCUUUGGGCUGGUCUGAGAGGAUGACCCGAAGCCACACUGGAACCGGAGACACGGUCCGACUCCUACGGAGGCAGCAGCAGUGGGGAAUAUUGCAAUAAUGGGCGCAAGCCUGAUGCAGCCAUGCCGCGUGUAUGCAGCGAAGGCCUGGUUGUAAAGUACUUUCAGCGGGUGAGGAAGGUGUUGUGGCUAUUAACCGCAGCAAUUGACGUUACCCAGAAGAAGCACCGGCUAACCUGCGCCGGUGCAGCCGCGGUAAUACGGAGGGUGCAAGCGUUAAUCGGAAUUACUGGGCGCAAGCACGCAGGCGGUCUGCCGGGUCGGAUGUGAAACUCCCCUGCCUGGAACCUGAACUGCAUUCGAACUGGUGCAGGCUUGAGUCUUGUAGAGGGGGGCAGAAUUCCGUGUGUAGCGGUGAAAUGCGUAGAGAUCUGAGGAAUACCGGUGGCGAAGGCGGCCCCUCGACAAAGACUGACGCUCAGGCGCGAAAGCGUGGGGAGCAACAGGAUUAGAUACCCGGUAGUCCACGCCGUAAACGAUGUCUACUUGGAGGUUGUGCCCCGAGGCGUGGCUUCCGAGCCAACGCGUUAAGUAGACCGCCCGGGGAGUACGGCUGGCCGCAAGGUUAAAAUCAAAUGAAUUGACGGGGCCCGCAAUAAGCGGUGGAGCAUGUGGUUUACCCGAUGCAACGCGAAGAACCUUACCUCCGGUCUUGACAUCCACGGAAGUUUUCAGAGAUGAGACAAAGCCUUCGGGAACCGUGUGAGACAGGUGCUGCAUGGCUGUCGUCAGCUCGUGUUGUGAAAUGCUGGUUAAGUCCCGCAACGAAGCGCAACCUUAUCCUGUUGCCAGCGGUCCGGCCGGGAACUCAAAGGAGACCGCCAGUGAUAAACUGGAGGAAGGUGGGGGAUGACGCGUCAUGGCCCUACGACCGUGGCUAACACGUGCUGCAAUGGCGCAUACAAAGAAAGCGACCCGCGAGAAGCAAGCGGACCUCAUAAAGUGCGUCGUAGUCCGGAUUGAGUCUGCAACCGACCCACAUGAAGUCGGAAUCGCUAGUAAUCGUGAUCAGGAAAGCCACGGUGAAUACGUUCCGGGCCUGUACACACCGCCCGUCACACCAUGGGAGUGGGUUGCAAAAGAAGUAGGUAGCUUAACCUUCGGGAGGGCGCUACCACUCUUUGUGAUUCAUGACUGGGGUGAAGUCGUAACAAGCGUAACCGUAGGGGAACCUGCGGUUGAUCACCUCCUUA